UACGAAGGGGGCUAGCGUUGUUCGGAAUUACGUGGCGUAAAGCGCACGUAGGCGGAUAUUUAAGUCAGGGGUGAAAUCCCGGGGCUCAACCCCGGAACGGCCUUUGAUACUGGAUGUCUUGAGUCCGGAAGAGGUGAGUGGAAUUGCGAGUGUAGAGGUGAAAUUCGUAGAUAUUCGCAGGAACACCAGUGGCGAAGGCGGCUCACUGGUCCGGAACUGACGCUGGGGUGCGAAAGCGUGGGGAGCAAACAGG
rnacentral:rRNA from 1 species